rnacentral:lncRNA from 1 species
CUGAUGGCAACCAUCUACAACUCUGGCAAGGUGCCUUGGGUAAGAUUCUUAUUUAGGGCUUUGUCUUGAAUAUCUUUUAAUUUUUUCCAAAAAAACCUGAUAAAAUUGGUUGCUCCAGUCUAGGAUUCUAUCGAUUUUUUUUUAAAUUUUGUUGCUAUAAUUCUUGAGAAUUGUGGCACUAGUUUCACGGAGGAAUUUGGAUUUUUUUUUUCCUGAAAAAUGCUUCUUUUGUUUUUAGUUUUCUUUUUCUAUAAUUAUAUGAAGCUCUAGGAAUUCUGGUAAAAUUUAUUGCUCCACUCCCCUUUUUUGACGAUUCUUAUUGAGGUAAGGGCUUGAGCUUGCACGAUUGUUUUUGUAUCAAUUGAUUGAUAGAUUAAGAAACUUCAGUAGUUUUCUGUAAAUUAUCAAUCAAUUGGUGUCCUUCGAGUUUGAUUUUGUUUUUCUAUUGAGAAAUUUGUUGUUAAAUGUAUAUGGUUGUUAUUGAUUUCUCUGAGCGAUAUGAAUACUGAAUGUUGGGAUUUCUUGUCUAGAGAAUUUAAAUUUUAGGAUUUAUGUUUUGGGAUUGGGGUAAAGGUUAAGCUGUUAAGACGUUUGCAAGUUGUUUAGAAAUGUUUUCUGCUUGAACUGAACAAUAUACUCGAUUCUAUUUUGUUUUUUCACACAGAUCUAGAUUUUCACUUCUCAAUUUGGAGAGUCUAGGCUAUAACUCAUGCUUGAAUCUUUUAGUAUGACUUCUCGAGUUGCUAAGGAUAAGAUGUUUUUCAUAUUUGUAGUUGUACCAUUAAUUGGAAGGCCGCCUUGCUACCUAUUGUUUUGUUCUGUAGUAUCCAAUAUUUAGAUAUAAUUUGAGUUUGUGAUUCUUUCCUUUAUUGUAGGAAUUUUCAAUUUGCUGACUGGAGUAAUUCGAUGUUGAGUUUGGUUAUUGAAGCUUUACACUUGUUAUAGUCUUUGCAACCUAGUAUGUAUGCUUUUCCCUCUUCUGUUGUUUGCAAGUAUAUAGUGUCUAAUUUUAACUAACCAAAGUUGGCCUACAUCGCGAGACAAAACUGCCUUGAGCACUCUUGUAUGGAGCCAAGAGAAGCUGAAAUCAUUAUACUGUGCGGACGUUUCUUUUUACUGGCUAAAUAGUUUUGUGAUGGAUAAUUUAAGUUGCAUAAUGAUCUAGCUAGGUCUUCAAUGGCAAGCUUUCCCAACCAUUUCAAUGGAGUCUCGAAACAUGCAGAUUUUACUGUAGGUGAAUAUUUUUUUGGUUUAUCCUUCCAUAACUUCCUAGCUAUGAAAAUUUAAGGGAAAAGAGAAACAAAGGAAGGACCAAAAGGUUAUGUUUCCCUUUAUUUAUUAUCAUUUGCAGGUUUCUUCUACCAGUAGUUUCUUUUGUGACUUGAUACGACCAUCCAGAGUCAUGGUUACAUUUUUUCUAAAGAUUCUGAAACAUGUAGGUUGCAACUUUUUUGAAUGAUCCAUAAUUUGUUGUCUUAGUCAUUUAGAAGAAUGGAAGGCAUAAACAGGUUGCCCUUUUGUUUUUUCUCCUUUGCUUGUGCAUCUUGAUAGCUGAACAAGGGGACGUGCAAUGGCAGUAUUUGCUUUUCUUCUUUCUUUGUUGUUCCCUCUCGGUGUGUUUGUGAGUUCUGGUUUGGUCUGAACUCUUUAAGAUAUUUAAGUUUUUAACCGGUACAAGUUGAUUUAGAUGGUGAAAUUAUCUCAUUUCUUAACUGGUACAAGUAAUAUGCUAUACUUGAUCCAUUGAAUGCCAUUAGCUUGUUGCUUUGGAUGGUAAAAUCUUAUUGGAACAAAUCCUGAAUUUGUUGAAUAAGUGUCUUGCAGUACUAUGUAGAACAAUCAAAGUCAUGAUGAGUCCAUCAAGAUGUAGGACUGACUUCAUGAAUCAGCAAGUGAGGUUCUCUAGUAUCUUAAAUAUUCAUUCAGUUGCGCAUAUACUCUUCUGGGAUUAGGGAGAAGAAAGAAGAGAAAGGAGAGAGCGUGUGUGUCGAAAGGUAAACAAUAGAAAGGAAUGAAAUGCUCAUCAUUUUGAGUCAAAUCAAAGAGUUUGUUUUCUUUUCUAAUAAUCUAGAUACUUCUGUUUUCCUUUCUUUAUGGCCACUGUGUUAGUGCUUCAUUUUUGCGCAUCUUGCAUAUGUAUUACUUAUUUAUUUUAAAUUGUGAAUGAAACAAUCAAGUGAAGAUUAAGUUUGUUUGCUAAUAUUAUGUUACUCAGAUGCUUUUUUUCCCCUUGUUUUAAUUUUGUAGAGACAUACAUAAAUAGUGGAUUAUCCUAAAAGAGACUGCAAUGGAAUUUUGCCCGACUUGUAGGAUGUUAUUGCAGUAUGAAUUGCCGCAUAUGGACCUCCCUGCCAGAUUCUUUGUCCAACAUGCCCGUAUGUAUGUCACAUAGAUAGUAAGGUAAGUCAUUAUAAAUCCUUUUUGAGGGUUUAUUUACUGGCUAUUCACAAUGUCCAUUGUGUCAUUGCUGAGUUAUCAACGCAUGUGGCAGGUUAAAAUAAAAAGAAAGCAUUGGUUAGUUAAGAAAGAACUAGAUCCUAUCACGUAUUAAGAUGUUUAUUUUUCCUGUUGUGUUUCAGCACCAUUGAACCUUGGAAGUGAUCUAGAAGUGGAAAAAAGGAGGGCUGAUUGAGUACCUUGCCACUUGCCGUGGCCUGGGGAAUUUGUAGGUGCAGGCCAACUAGAUUUGUUCAAAACUCGGGUCACUAAGUUUUUUCCUGUAAAACGUUCACAUGAACAUUGGUGACGUGUUGUACAGAUGUUUCCUUUUGUAUCCAUGAUUUACUACCUGGGCAACUGAUAUUUUUGGGACCAUUUUCCAUUUGGAGAUGUGAUUUUCGUUUUUGUUGAGCAAUAUUUUAUAUUUUGGCUUAUAGUUGCCUCUGUAUGUAUUAAAUUGUUCCAGAUUUUUUAUCCA